GACGAACGCUGGCGGCGUGCUUAACACAUGCAAGUCGAACGGUGAAGCGAGUGCUUGCACUCGUGGAUCAGUGGCGAACGGGUGAGUAACACGUGAGUAACCUGCCCAUCACUCUGGGAUAAGCACUGAAAACGGUGUCUAAUACUGGAUACGACCAACCCUUGCAUGGGGUGUUGGUGGAAAGAUUUAUCGGUGAUGGAUGGACUCGCGGCCUAUCAGCUUGUUGGCGGGGUAAUGGCCCACCAAGGCGACGACGGGUAGCCGGCCUGAGAGGGUGACCGGCCACACUGGGACUGAGACACGGCCCAGACUCCUACGGGAGGCAGCAGUGGGGAAUAUUGCACAAUGGGCGAAAGCCUGAUGCAGCGACGCCGCGUGAGGGAUGACGGCCUUCGGGUUGUAAACCUCUUUCAGCAGGGAAGAAGCGAAAGUGACGGUACCUGCAGAAGAAGCACCGGCUAACUACGUG
rnacentral:rRNA from 1 species